rnacentral:lncRNA from 1 species
GAGAUUUCGGACUAGAUCUUGGAGUUGUCGCGGGAGUAUGAGGCGGAAACCAAGGAACAUUCCAAAAAGGAGCAGGGUAAAAUGACAUGGGAAAUCCCGGAGGACACAAAGUUUGCGGCGAGGGAAUUGCGCCAGAACUCCAAGUAUAAGGCCAAGGAACACUAGUCAUACAUGGAACUUGGGGAAUGAAACCAUUAUUUUUCUGUGGCAAUGAUUCUUGUGUCAUGUUUUUACCACUUUCCUCCAUGGAUUUUGAAACUGUAACAGAAGACGCACUUGAAAAACG